GUUGAUGAUGAUAACCUUGAAUAGGAAGUGCCAUCAGAUGCGAGAACUGAUGAUAACCUUCUUAUUUGUCUGAAA
rnacentral:snoRNA from 1 species